rnacentral:tRNA from 1 species
GCCUACUUAACUCAGUGGUUCAGAGUAUCGCUUUCAUACGGCGAGAGUCAUUGGUUCAAAUCCAAUAGUAGGCA